GACGGGGGCCCGCACAAGUGGUGGAGUAUGUGGUUUAAUUCGAUGCAACGCGAAGAACCUUACCUGGUCUUGACAUCCCAGAAAUCCCUUGGAAACUUGGGAGUGCUUCCAUUAGGAAGAAUCUGGAGACAGGUGCUGCAUGGCUGUCGUCAGCUCGUGUCGUGAGAUGUUGGGUUAAGUCCCGCAACGAGCGCAACCCUUGCCUUUAGUUGCCAGCAGUUCGGCUGGGCACUCUAAAGGGACUGCCGGUGUUAAACCGGAGGAAGGUGGGGAUGACGUCAAGUCCUCAUGGCCUUUAUGACCAGGGCUACACACGUACUACAAUGGCCGAUACAAAGGGCAGCGACAUUGCGAAAUGAAGCCAAUCCCAUAAAUUCGGUCUCAGUCCGGAUUGGAGUCUGCAACUCGACUCCAUGAAGUUGGAAUCGCUAGUAAUCGCGGAUCAGCACGCCGCGGUGAAUACGUUCCCGGGCCUU
rnacentral:rRNA from 1 species